AUUUUGGGUUAAUUUUUAUCAAACUACCAAAAAGGAACCUUUCUGAUGUGGAAGAUAGCACUUCACAAAAAAAAAAACUUGAAUUAUAGAUUCUUCGCUGUAACAAUUCACGGAAUAGCCCCCAGUUCGUUUUAAUAUUUGUAUACCUAAGCCAAUUAGAUAAUAAGGAAGGACAACCAAAAGAUAAUUUUGGCUGAAAUUGUUUACACUAAAGGAGCCAAUCUUUCCUAUAUCGUGACAAAGAAACAAAAAAUAUUGAAUUAGACUAUGCACAUAUGGAUGGAACAAGAGAAAGCUCCAAGGAAGACACCAAACCCAGCCUAUGGUCGUUUGUUCACAUAAACGUAACAAAAUUAAAAAGUGGAAGUUGGAAAUAUGAGUGUCAACGAGAGGUAACUGACAAAAAGAUACUCUUUCAAUUAAAUGGAAUCAUGCAUGGUGAUCUAAGAGGCGCUACCAACAGCUUUCGGAAGGAAGAUAGGAACACAAGGCCGUUUCAAAUACGGUACCUGCUUGAAUAAUAUGGGCAAGCUAAAAGAAAGAAACUCCUGAUGUUCUGAAGAUGCAUCUGCAAUAUACACACGAGAAUGCAAAUACAGAUUUGAAGAUGCAUCUGCGAUAUACACACGAGAGCGCAAAUGUUUGCACCUUUUAACUUUUAGACUAACUUACAAGAUGUAUAUGACUUACUACAUAACAUUUGGUGUUAAUUAAUAAAGUUGAUCACUUAUACUAGAUUCUGUUGUUGAA